ACGGAGGGUGCGAGCGUUAUUCGGAAUCACUGGGCGUAAAGCGCACGUAGGCGGUGUCGUAAGUCGGAUGUGAAAGCCCCCGGCUCAACCGGGGAACUGCAUUGGAUACUGCGAUGCUUGAGUGCCGGAGAGGGUGGCGGAAUUCCAGGUGUAGGGGUGAAAUCCGUAGAGAUCGGGAGGAACACCAGUGGCGAAGGCGCCCUCCUGGACGGAAACUGACGCUGAGGUGCGAAAGCGUGGGGAUCAAACAG
rnacentral:rRNA from 1 species